rnacentral:rRNA from 1 species
UUUCCAGAGAUGGACUGGUGCCUUCGGGAACUGUGAGACAGGUGCUGCAUGGCUGUCGUCAGCUCGUGUUGUGAAAUGUUGGGUUAAGUCCCGCAACGAGCGCAACCCUUAUCCUUUGUUGCCAGCGAUUCGGUCGGGAACUCAAAGGAGACUGCCAGUGAUAAACUGGAGGAAGGUGGGGAUGACGUCAAGUCAUCAUGGCCCUUACGACCAGGGCUACACACGUGCUACAAUGGCGCAUACAAAGAGAAGCGACCUCGCGAGAGCAAGCGGACCUCAUAAAGUGCGUCGUAGUCCGGAUUGGAGUCUGCAACUCGACUCCAUGAAGUCGGAAUCGCUAGUAAUCGUGGAUCAGAAUGCCACGGUGAAUACGUUCCCGGGCCUUGUACACACCGCCCGUCACACCAUGGGAGUGGGUUGCAAAAGAAGUAGGUAGCUUAACCUUCGGGAGGGCGCUUACCACUUUGUGAUUCAUGACUGGGGUGAAGUCGUAACAAGGUAACCGUAGGGGAACCUGCGGUUGGAUCACCUCCUUACCUUAAAGAAGC